GCAAAUUCAUAAACAACGGUACAAAUUGUUAUUUCAAAUAUGCAAUUUACAGUUAUUUACACAUAUAUUCUUCUUAAAUCACGUAUUUGUCUUUUUACGUCGAUGUGACGUUAUUGCGAUCAGAUGAAUAAUUUGCUAACAAUAUAUUGUAGCGUGCACGGGGGAAGGCAGCAGCAGGACUGGUAGAUGACGUACUCGCACACAGGGUGCGUUCACGAGAGGCAGGCUUUGUUAAACUUGUAGGAACAUAAAGGUUUAGAAUGUGUGCACCAGGGAAUGUUCUUUGGGGUGAUCACCGCGAUGGAGGCAUAGAAUAUAUUUUGACAACCUCUUAAGACUUUUCGGUUUUCAUGUCGCAAUAUCCAUUUUGAACACUUGGUAUAAGCGGGCUGAAAUGUUGCGAAUUUUAUUAGAAGGGGUUGUCGGUAAAUAGCGAGUGUCUGGCUUUCGAUUUACAGUGACCGAAAUUAAUCGAGUCGUCACUGGGCAAUGCAAUAAACCGUGCGUCAGUACUUUAAAUUGGUCCCCUAAAUCAGUUCCUAGUAUUUAACCAAUUUAAACGACGAUUGCGAGUACUGUACAGACAUGGCUGUCAUGAUUUGUAGAUUGAUGAGAGUUUUUCUAAAAUUUCCCCCACAUUCACAGACACUAAAGUAGUUUCUUUUUGUUUUUUUGAUUUUUUUUUCCAACCAGAGAAAUCUCAGAAAUCCCCAUAAGUUCAAAUAGAUAACGUUUUUUUUUUUAAAUAGGCUAUUGCACCCGUAACCUUCCUGAACAGUACGCUACAUACAAUUGGUAUGCUGAUAUAUACAGUGCCGUGAAAAAGUAUUUGCCCCCUGUCUGAUUUUCUGCAUUUUUGCAUAUUUUUGACACUGAAUGUUAUCAGAUCUUCAACCAAAACCUAAUAUUAGAUAAAAGGGACCCUGAGUGAACAAAUAACACAAAAAUUUGAUACAUAUUUCAUUUAUUUAUUAAAGAAAGUUAUGCGACACCCAAUGCCCCCGUGUGAAAAAGUAAUCGCCCCCUUAGACUCAAUGACUGGUUACGCCACCUUUAGCAGCAAUAACUGCAACCAAACGCUUCCUGUAGUUAUUGAUUAGUCUCUCACAGCACCGUGGAGGAAUUUUGGCCCACUCCUCCAUGCAGAACUGCUUCAACUCUGACAUUUGUGGGUUUUCGAGCAUGAACUGCUCGUUUCAGGUCCUGCCACAACAUCUCAAUGGGGUUUAGGUCUAGACUUUGACUAGGCCAUUCCAAAACUUUAAAUUUCUUGUUCUUCAACCAUUCUGAUGUAGACUUGCUUGUGUGUUUCGGAUCAUUGUCUUGCUGCAUGACCCAGCUGCGCUUCAGCUUCAGCUCACGGACGGAUGGCCUAACAUUCUCCUGUAGAAUUCUCUGAUACAGAGCAGAAUUCAUGGUUCCUUCAAUGAGGGCAAGGCGUCCAGGUCCUGAUGCAGCAAAGGUUCCCCAAACCAUGACACUACCACCACCAUGUUUGAUCAUUGAGGUUCUUACUGUGGAAUGCAGUGUUUGGUUUUCACCAGACAUAACGGGGUGCAUGUCGGCCAAAAAGUUCCACUUUUGACUCAUCUGUCCAUAGAACAUUGUUCCAGAACUCUUGAGGAUCAUCCAGGUGCUUUUUGGCAAACUUGAGACAAGCAUUCAUGUUCUUCUUAGUGAGCAAUGGUUUCCGCCUUGCUGCUCUGCCAUGAAUCCCAUUUUUUCCCAGUGUCUUUCUGAUGGUGGUCAUAAACACUGACCUUAGCUGAGGCGAGAGAGGCCUGCAGAUCCCUGGAUGUUGUUAUAGGGUUCUUUGUGACUUCCUGGACGAUUUUACGCCUUGCUCUUGGAGAGAUUUUGGCAGGACGGCCACUCCUGGGUAGAUUCACUACUAUCCCAAACUUUCUCCAUUUGGACAAUACGGCUCUGACUGUGGUUCGGUGGAGCCCCAGAGCCUUAGAAAUGGCUUUGUAACCCUUUCCAGACUGAUAGGCAUCAACAACCUUUUUCCGGAGGUCUUCAGGAAUUUCUUUUGUUCGUGGCAUGAUGUGCCUCUAGAACCUGUGUGCUGACAACUUCACUCUGAUGGUAAGGGCCAAAGUUAGUCAGAUUUAUAUUGGGCAGGGCUGGCCCAAAUCAGGCCUGGUUGUUAACCAAAGUACUCUAGCUGACCCUAAUUAUCCCUAAAUAACUUUUUCACACCUGAAGAUUGCAUGUUUGAUUACCUUGCACACCAAACAAAUGAAAGAACUGGGGGGGGGGGGGGAUCAGAAGAGAAUAGAAGAAUCUAUAGAGUGGAAAAAAAAAACUACUGUGAUACAUGAUGACGUAAUCUAAGCUGAUGCAACAACCAUUCUUACACACCCAAAAACCAAAUGCAACAAACAAGGCAGUCAACCUACAACCUACAAAAAUCUAGAAAAAAACAGAUCAUCUGUAUAAAGCUGUUGUCGUAAGAUGUGCUUUAAAACACAAGAAUAGUUUUCGAAACAAGCAUCCUGUAUAACUGAGAAAAAAUAAAGUGGGAUGGGCUUGUUAAAGUAGCAUAUCUGAACACUGGUCUCUUAUCAGUUCCUAAUUAACAUUACUUGAAAGCAAACCUCUUAUUCUGAAACAACUACACCAGAUUACUGAAAAAGAAAGUAAGGUCUGAAAGGGGAAGUAAAAGAAGGGGAAGUAAAACCUUAAAUUGUCAGUUUUUCAGCUUCUCAUUACUUUUUUUUAAUGUUUCAAAUGUUUUAAAUAUGAUACAGCAUAUUCUGUUAUUUUUUACAUUUGGUUCUGCACUUGGAGAAAAAUAUGUACUGUGUUCUACAGAAGAGCUUGAUACAUGGUACUCUUUUAGUGGUGGAUUUGAUCAGAUGCUUCUUACAGUAUUGCCCUGCCAAUAUAAUGGUAUAGGAGAGUGGGAAAUAAAAUUCUCAGGGAUUCCAUGUAAGCUAUUUAACCUUUUUUUUAAAAAAAUAUAAUUUAACCCAUUUAAUUACCACUUAUACAUGUUGUUUAUUUCUUAGAUUCUCUUAAUUUAUUAUACAGGACUAAUCAGACAACCUUUUAAUAAAUUCCAGUCAUUAAUGUAACUUUUUGAGGAUCAUGGUCUCCAACUUCAGGUAGUUCAGUUUGCCAUGUUAAAUUUGAGUCCAAAUGUUUUUACUGCUACACUGUGGCAAUAACUACAUCCUAGGUUCUAAUAAACCACCUUCCUAUGAAAGUAGUUAACAAAAUAAUUCCAUUAAUAUUCUGUUUUACAUUUCCAUUAGCUACAUCAGUCUCAGAUGUGCAGUUUUGAAAGAAACACAUUAUAGCAAACAAAUAUUUUUAUUUUAAAACAUUAUAUAGGUUCUACUUUAAGUUAAAGAAAGUUCUCAGUUUUAAAGCCUUAUUUACAGGAUAUCUGUUUUGCUUGCACUUCCUAGGUCAUUUUAACUGUGUCUUCUGGCCAAAGCACGUUACUGGCUGAAAGCAUGUCGGUAAACAAGGAAAUCGGUUGGUUAAUGACAAGACAUAAUCCAUUGAAUCUUCAUUUGAAAAUGCAAGUUUUCUAUAAUGACCAGACAGUGGCUGAGAAAAACAUUGACUGGUGCAUAGAGGAGGAUCAAAGAGAACAAAUCUGUGGGACUAUAAAAGGAGAACAUUUUAAUUACGAAGCAAAAAUAAGGACUGCAGAAUAUUACCUCUCACCAGGCCUUUAUGAAAUUUCUAUGCAUUUGUUUUCUGGUUUUGAUAUCCAGCAAGAACUGAUUCUACAUGCCAAUUUGACACUUUUAAUAAAAUAAAAGGGCACUGUAUGAGAGAUGGAAGGAAGACUUGUUUUUCAUUAUUUAAAAAAGUUUAAAAUAGAUCAGAUACACAGCAUAGCUAAACCUCUUCAUACAAAAGGACUGCCACCCCAGCACUUCACAGUGUGAUGGGAGAAUGUAUUAUUUAAUGAAGUUCUUAACUAAAGUUCGGGAGGAGCGUCAGACACCAAUCUCCUCGUCACCAAAUUGAAUCAUUCAAUUUACACAUUAGCUAAUUAAGAGUGUUAGCACUAUAAAUACCCUUUUCACUUACCUCUCAGUUGCAUUUCGAUUUCAUCGUAACCCACCACCUCCCCAUCUCCACCUUUCUUAAAAACAAUUUUAGGUUUUGUCAAUGGGGGUCUCCGCCUCGUCCAGUUGGCCAGGCAGCGAGCCCUCAAACCAAGUUAGGUUUGAGGCCAAAUUAAUGUGUAUAUACAACAUACUUCUCUGUAAAAUCGCUUACUCCGCAUUCUCCACAAUAAAUAUUUGUACUAAAA